rnacentral:rRNA from 1 species
UACGUAGGGUCCAAGCGUUAAUCGGAAUUACUGGGCGUAAAGCGCACGUAGGCGGCUCUUUAAGUCGGAGGUGAAAUCCUGGAGCUCAACUCCAGAACUGCCUUCGAUACUGUAGAGCUUGAGUUCGGGAGAGGUGAGUGGAACUGCGAGUGUAGAGGUGAAAUUCGUAGAUAUUCGCAAGAACACCAGUGGCGAAGGCGGCUCACUGGCCCGAUACUGACGCUGAGGUGCGAAAGCGUGGGGAGCAAACAGG